rnacentral:tRNA from 1 species
GACACUUUGGCGGAGUGGUUAACGCGGUGCCCUGCUAAACUAGUCGAGGCAUUUCCUUCGGGAGCGCAGGUUCGAAUCCUGCAGGUGUCG